rnacentral:rRNA from 1 species
UACAGGGGGGGCAAGCGUUGUUCGGAAUUACUGGGCGUAAAGGGCGCGUAGGCGGUGCGGUAAGUCACCUGUGAAAUCUCCUGGCUCAACUGGGAGCUUGCAGGCGAAACUGCCGUGCUGGAGUGUGGGAGAGGUGCGUGGAAUUCCUGGUGUAGCGGUGAAAUGCGUAGAUAUCAGGAGGAACACCUGUGGCGAAAGCGGCGCACUGGACCACAACUGACGCUGAGGCGCGAAAGCUAGGGGAGCAAACAGG